GAAUGGAAUGUUCUGCCCCCACGAGAAGG
rnacentral:piRNA from 1 species